rnacentral:tRNA from 1 species
GUCCCGAUAGGGUAGCGGACUAUCCUCUUGGCUUCCGGAGCCAGGGACCGGCGUUCAAAUCGCCGUCGGGACG